CUAGAGCAAGUUCAGUAAUCUAUUCUAUUACCUCGUCUGUGUUGCUGACACUUGUGUGUUUCUUCUAGUAGAAAUUGCUGGUUUUCUUACUUUGAAUAAUUGUUAUCCUCUUUUUCUAGGCUGUGUUUUGCAUGUAAGUUUUGUAGUUUGUCAGUGCUAAUACUGGUAAAUCUCCCCAGUCUACUCGGGCCAGAAGAUUGAGGUCAGAUGAUGUUGAUGCAGUUGCUCGGCUUCCUGUCCUGAAUGACACAUAUUACCGAGACGUACUUUGUGAGAUUGGAGGCAUGUUUUCAGUUGCGAAUGGUGUUGAUAAUAUCCAUAAGCGACCUUGGAUCGGUUUUCAGUCUUGGCGUGCUGCUGGGAGGAAGGCUAGUCUCUCUACAAAAGCUGAGCAGGUUCUGGAAGAAGUAGUACAAA